GACGAACGCUGGCGGCGUGCUUAACACAUGCAAGUCGAACGGAAAGGCCCUGCUUUUGUGGGGUGCUCCAGUGACUAACGGGUGGGUAACACGUGUGUAACCUGCCCUUGCCUUUGGGAUCACUUCAGUAAACUGGGGCUAAUACCGGAUAGUAGCUCCUGCUGCAUGGUGGGGGGUGGAAAGUUUCGGCGGUUGGGGUUGCACUCGCGGCUUAUCAGCAUGUCGGUGGGGUGGUGGCUUACGAAGGCGUUGACGGGUAGACGGCCUGGAAGGGUGACCGGAGACAUUGGGAAGGAUAUAACGCCCAGACGCCUACGGGAGUAAGCAGUGGGGAAUAGUGCACAAUGGGCGGAAGCCUGAUGCAGCAACGCCGCGUGCGGGAUGAUGGCCUUCGUUUUGUAAACCGCUUUCGCCUGUGACGAAGCGGUAGUGACGGUAAUGGGUAAAGAAGCACCGGCUAACUACGUG
rnacentral:rRNA from 1 species